GCUCUCCUGAAAGCCUCGGAGGCCCAGAGCGGGGAGCAGCGGGCCUGCAACCAGGGAACCCUGAAAGGAAGCGGGUCCUCUGUAAGAUGGGGCUGCAUCCCUGCCCCGCUCCCAGCAGCAUGGGGUCAGAUGCAAAAACUGAGGCUCAGGGGAGUGAAGUGACCCAUCCAAGGUCCCACAGCUUGUCCGUGGCAGAGCUGGGUUUCAACCCCAGGUAAGUCCAGAAGCCAUGUUCACUAUUGGCCCUUCCUAUGUCAGGGGCUCAGGCUUGGUACCCCCUCCCCGCCCAGGGACUUGUGGGAGAAACCAAUGCAGUGCUGCACAUCCAAUCACUAUUGAGUGCUUCUCCUUCGUCCGUAACGUUCAGCACGGAGAACAGUGCCUGGCACAUAGUAGGUGCUUAAUAAAACGUGCUGAAUGAAUCGUCGCCAGUGUGCAUGAGUCCAUAGCCUUUGGCCCAUCUACCGCUGUGAGGGCAGCUGAGUGGGGACUGGCCAUCCCCUCUAUGCCACUGCAGUCUCACCCUGAACCAGGAGAACCUGGGCUCUGCCACCUGCCAGCCAGCGUGCACCCUAAACAAGCCUAUGCCCCUCAAAGAACCUCAGGCCUCUUCAAUCCUGGGGAGUGACCACAGCUGGCCCUAACCACCUUCCAGAGCCCAACUGCAUCAAAGAAAGAGCACUACAAGGCCCCGGGAAGGCCUGAUCAACCCUGGAAGGAGCUGGCCGCAGACAGGCCUCCUCCCAGGACUGGAGGGGGAGGAGCUUAUCCUGAGGCCUGGCCCAGCAGAUCCCAGGAGAGGGGCCAGGGCAGGCGGCACUUCCUGGAAGAGUGGGGGAUUCACCGUCCCUGGGAACCUUUGGCUCAGUAGGCAGCCCCUCCCCCUCCCAAGACGGGGCACUCAGCCAGCACCCCCGGACCUUUUGGGAGGGCAGACCCCCUCCCGGGGUGGGAACACAAGGGGUCCGAGGUGACCCAGCCAGGGCUGACCUCUGCCCUCUGCCGUGGGGUCCUCGGGAAAGCACCUGAAGAUGGGAUGUGCCAGGGAUCUUUUUUCUGCGUGUUCACAGAGUGUGCCCCAGGGCCAGGCUGCCUGGUUACAGCCCCCUGUGCCACCCCUGGCUGUGGGAACUCAGAAAGGCCCUGCUGUCUCUGAGCCUUGGUUUCCUUGUAGGUAACAGACACCACGGCAAUGGUCCCUGGGACUCAGGGCAUCUUGCAAGGGAGGGCCUUGUCCUCAUGCCUGCCAUAAAGAAGCUGCCAGCUACUGGUAACCUAAAGGAUUCUUGUUUCCGGCCCCAGGCUGGGGGUUCCCUGCACAGCAACUUGGGCCUGCCAAGGUCACCCAGAUAAUUCAGGCAGAGCUGAAGCUGGAAGACGGGCCGGAGGGCUUCCCUGGCCUGCACCAGCCCGGGCUUCCUAGGAGAUGCCCCACCAGAGGCACUUCCUUCUCCAACGCCAGCAGGGAGGGUGACACCGGGCUCCGGGAGCCCCGGCACACACACGCACACUCACACAGAUGGCCAUGGCAGUCCAGCUGCAGGGCCGGCCUGGCACAGAGGCCUCCCCAUCCUGGUGGCUCCGGGCCCCUGCUGCAGUGGCCUCCACCCCCCCGCUGCCUGCCCGCUGCUGCACCUUUGCACAACUAUGUCUGGUAUUUUCCUGUCUGCCCAGCUUUGGGGGGGUGCUUGGAGCUAUGAUCACCGCCUGCACCUGGGCCCCAGCCAGAGGAAAGCCCGCCCCGCAGCCCCCACACCUGCCCACCCACCCGGGCUGGGAGGGGAGGGGACCAGAGCACUGGGCCCUGCCACCCAAAUCCCUGGGAGGGGCUGGCACCAGGGAGCGAGACAGGGAUGCACGCCCAGCAAGGCUGGGGCACAGACAGCCCAGGCCCUGCCAGGCGGCACUGCCAUUCUCAGCAGACCCAGCCAGAGCUAUCUGAGGCCAGCAAAGGGAUGGGCCAGUGUAGCACAGGACAUGAGCAGGCACCCACAGCACCCCCGGAUGUACAGACACCUGUGCACAAAUGUGGCACACACAGGACAUCACAGUAACCCCUUGCCCCAGUGUCGGGGCCAGGACUCAGGAGCCUUGGCUUCUGGGGGAGAGCAGGGAUGAGGCCGGGUCCCCAGAGCGAAGGAAACACCGCGCCUCCCAAGCCACGCCUGGCUGCAGGCAGAUCCCACAAGGAGCUCCUAAGUCCUGGGGGGUCGGGGCAGGCCCGUGGCCCACGCCUCCCCUGCCUGGGGCCAGGUACCAGGUCCACUGGGAACGGCACCCGCCAACUCCGAGAGCAGGAGUGGGUAAGGCGGGCGGUGGACCUUGGCCUGCCCUCCUGCCUCGGUUCUCCAACCACGCAUUCAUGCAUUCCAACGCCAGGCCCUGCUAGAUCGAACCGGACCUUGAGGGUGCCCCGACCAAGGUGGGGUGGGAGAAACAGUGUAGGGGGGGGGCUGCUCCUGCAGGGGGUUGGGCACAGAUCCGGGUCAGCCUCAUGGAUAUGGGGUGAAGAGCCUUGGGGAGGUGGGAGCCCUGCGGGUCGGCGCCCGGUCAGCAUGCCUGCUGCACACAGUCCAUCACCCUGAUGACCCCGCGAAUGGAUGCCAUUUUCCCCAUUUUCCAUGUGGGGAAACCUGCCACUGUCACAGCCAGCAAGGGGCACAGCUGGGUUCGCCAGCAGACCCCAAAGCCCAGUGCCACAGAGGACCAGAGGCUAUGGCCCGGCUGAUCUGCAGUGACCCUACCAGUCAUGGAGUAGACGAGGAGGCAGGAGAGAAAGAGGCCCCUCAGAGAGGCUGGGACAGAACCUAGAGGGCACUGGGGAGCCACAGAGGGCUCUACACAGAAGAGUGCCACCUGCUCUCUCAGCCCAGAGCCUCCUGCCCCAGGCCCUCUCCUUUGGCACCCCCCUUCCUCAGGAUCCCCUGCCCCCUGGGAACCUGAUGCUCCCAGGUGCCAGCUCCUCCCUCACCACCAUCCAUGCCCCCCUGUUCUCUUUCCUCCAGCCACCAUCCCCUUCUGCCCCCUCCUCCACCAAGUGCUCCCUGGUUCACCCUCCCCAGCCUCGGUUUCUGGAGCUGCACACAGGCUGUGGGUCCAGGUACCUGAGGGCCUGCUGGGCAAAGACUUGCCUCUGUCCACCCCCGCUGGAGGCAGGCUGUCCCGGGUCCAAGUCCUUGCCAAUGCAUCACUGAAGCCAGUGUCACCUGUGCACAGCGUGGUGUACACAGCGCCGACCUUCAGCCCCAGGCCUCCCACUGGCCCUGGUAUCCAGAGCCUCCUUCCAAGAAGGGAGCCUGGGAGUGGGCCGGGACAUGUCUGGGACGCCGGGCAGCUCCAAACCCGCUGUGGCUACUGAAGAGAAGGCCUCACCAGCAGACCCCUGCCCCAGUUCCCACGGCCCCUGGCACGGAGCCCACCCCAUCCACCAGAGUGAACUGGGCAGUGAGGCAGGGAACCCAGAAUGAGAAAACUAGGCCUGGGUUUCCCCAUCCACAGGAGGGGGCCUGCUGAGAGGACAGCCGAAGCUCCAACAACCCCAACCACUCAUCUUAGGUGGCACAGUGGUACCUGCCCUUCACAUAUCCCAACACCUGGCACUCCGCGAAUGAGUCCGUCUCAUUCAUGUAUUCAUUCACUCGACAGACAUUCCCGCCUUUACCCCCAAGUGAGGAGGGGAGGGGUAGGUAUGGAGGGGUUCGUGCCCAAAGAGGAAUGUGACUUGCCCAAGGUCAAGGCUAGAAGCAGGGGCUGGUCUCCUGACAUAGAUGCCUCUUUCUCCCUGUCCCAGGCAAGGGACCCAGGAACAGAGCUGGACAAGGGUGUGGUGGCCCCUAGGAACCACCCUGGCCAGCUGGGAUGGUGGGAAGGGCCCAGAUCCCCCCCAGCUCCAUCUCCUGCCACGCCCUCCCAGCCCUGGCCCCCAGCCCCAGAUAGCUGGGCAAGAGCAGGCCCAGCAGGGCACCGCACACACAGGACUCCAGCCCAUGCCCUCCUCCUCAGCCACCCGCCCCUCUCUGCUCGCCUACUCUGGAAGAAAGCAAGUCCAGAAGCCGGGGACAGCCUCCAAAGCCAUCGAGGUCCUUUUCCUUCCAAAGGGGAACACCCACUGGCAGGAUCUGCCAGGCCUGGUGGCUCCAGGCCCUCGGGGCCCAGUGGCCCUAGAACCAAGCAGGGUGACCACUAGGUGCUCCGGGGGGUGCUGGGGGAGGCCGGGGCUGGCAGGGAGACGAGCACCAGCACAGGGUUGGGGGGACUUCAGAAUAGGGAGGACAAUGGAGGCCCCUACAGCCUUGCGGGGAGGGGACAUCCCAGCUCAGAGUCGGUCUGCCUGGAAGUUGGGGUGGGGAAUGGGGGCUCUGGAUGAAGGUGGGAGUGGCCCAGGGGAGAACUGGCCCAGGCAGGCCGGGACUUGCUAGACAGCCCCAGGCAGACGAUGCAGGGAAGGGGAGAGGCUUCUUCCAGACACGUUGGCCCCCGUCAUGCCCUUGCAGUGGACGUGGGGGGCAGGAGUGGAGCUGGGGGGAUUCCCAGGCUAAACCGACAUUUCAGGGGUCAGGGCCAGACAGCCCCAGACUCCAGUUCCCCUCUGUUCUUCCCCGAUUGGGAGUGACCUCGGGCCAAACCCUCAAAUGUCUCAGAGCCUCAGUUUCCCCCCACCGGCCUCCGACGACCUCUUGACUACCAGGGUCCAAGCGAGGCUGCCCUGGGAGCGUGCUGUGCCAGCGGUGGGGACCCUCCAUGUGACGGGCAGGACUGUUUUCCGGAGGCUCCCGGCCGGGGGCUGACUCAGUCCACUCAGCGGUCUCCUGGGGCCUCUGCUGGCUUCCCACCCGCCCUUGGCCAUGACUGGAGGAAGGGGCCAGGGCUGGGUCUCCGUCCCUUCCCCGGCAGCCAUCUGCCAAGGCUGGAGUCCGUGUGCACGCACAUGUGACACUCACAGGCCGGCCCCUCCCUGCGGUGGGCACUACCUGGCCUCUCAAGCACCGAAGACAAAGGGCACGAGGAGCCCAAGUCACCCGCCCCCCAGCCAUCGAACUGGAAGAGUCUCAGCCCCCACCCAUCCCCCAGCAGGGGCUGCUGGGGCAGAUGGGAAGCCCCCACCCCUCAGCUGGAAUCACUUCCCAUCUCCAUGCCCCCCAGGCCCACUUAGCCUGG
rnacentral:lncRNA from 1 species